AUUGAACGCUGGCGGCAGGCCUAACACAUGCAAGUCGAGCGGAUGAAGAGAGCUUGCUCUCUGAUUUAGCGGCGGACGGGUGAGUAAUGCCUAGGAAUCUGCCUGGUAGUGGGGGAUAACGUUCCGAAAGGAACGCUAAUACCGCAUACGUCCUACGGGAGAAAGCAGGGGACCUUCGGGUCUUGCGCUAUCAGAUGCGCCUAGGUCGGAUUAGCUAGUUGGUGAGGUAAUGGCUCACCAAGGCGACGAUCCGUAACUGGUGUGAGAGGAUGAUCAGGCAAACUGGAACUGGGACACGGUCCAGACUCCUACGAGAGGCAGCAGUGGGGAAUAUUGGACAAUGGGCGAAAGCCUGAUCCAGCCAUGCCGCGUGUGUGAAGAAGGUCUUCGGAUUGUAGAGCACUUUAAGUUGGGAGGAAGGGCAGUAAGUUAAUACCUUGCUGUUUUGACGUUACCGACAGAAUAAGCACCGGCUAAUUUCGUGCCAGCAGCCGCAGUAAAAC
rnacentral:rRNA from 1 species